rnacentral:rRNA from 1 species
UACGUAGGGUCCGAGCGUUGUCCGGAGUUACUGGGCGUAAAGCGCGCGCAGGCGGCUUGAUAAGUCUGGCGUGAAAGCCCCCGGCUCAACCGGGGAGGGUCGUCGGAGACUGUGAAGCUUGAGGGCGGUAGGGGCUGGUGGAAUUCCCGGUGUAGUGGUGAAAUGCGUAGAGAUCGGGAGGAACACCUGUGGCGAAGGCGGCCAGCUGGGCCGACCCUGACGCUGAGGCGCGAAGGCGUGGGGAGCGAACGGG